GUCCCUCCAGGUACAUUCGAUAAAAUUGGAACGAUACAUAAAAGAUUAGCUUGACCUCUGCGCAAGGAUGACAUGCAUAAAUUGAGAAAUUUAAAUGUUAUUU
rfam:Helianthus annuus linkage group 2, whole genome shotgun sequence.